rnacentral:tRNA from 1 species
GGACGGAAGCGGCCAGGGAGGACUGAAAAUCCUUGUGUCGCUGGUUCGAUUCCAGUUCUGGCCA